rnacentral:rRNA from 1 species
GACGAACGCUGGCGGCGUGCCUAAUACAUGCAAGUCGAGCGAAGAUUUUCUGGUUCUUUCACUAGAAAGACUUAGCGGCGAACGGGUGAGUCACACGUAAAGAACCCGCCUCAUAGACUGGGACAACUAUUGGAAACGCUAGCAAAUACCAGAUAACAGCAUUAACUGCAUGGGUGAUGUUUAAAAGUUGGUUUUGCUAACACUAUGAGAUGGCUUUGCGGUUCAUUAGCUGGUUGGCCGGGUAAAGGCCUACCAAGUCGACGAGGGAUAACCGACGUGAGUGAGUGAUCGGCGACACUGGGAGUGAGCCACGGACAUGGGUCCUGCGGGAGGCAGCAGUAGGGAAUGUUCCGCAAUGGGCGAGAGCCUGACGGAGCAGGGCCGAGUGAGUGACGAAGGAUUUGCGUUCGUAAAGCUCUGUUGUUAGUGAAGAACGACUGUGUAGUAAGAAUACGCAGUAGAGACGGUACCUAGCCAGAAAGCCACGGCUAACUACGUG